AGCGAACGCUGGCGGCAGGCCUAACACAUGCAAGUCGAACGAAGCCUUCGGGCUUAGUGGCGGACGGGUGAGUAACACGUGGGAACGUACCUUUUGGUUCGGAAUAACGCAGAGAAAUUUGCGCUAAUACCGAAUGAGCCCUUAGGGGGAAAGAUUUAUCGCCGAAAGAUCGGCCCGCGUUGGAUUAGGUAGUUGGUGUGGUAAAGGCGCACCAAGCCUACGAUCCAUAGCUGGUCUGAGAGGAUGAUCAGCCACACUGGGACUGAGACACGGCCCAGACUCCUACGGGAGGCAGCAGUGGGGAAUCUUGCGCAAUGGGCGAAAGCCUGACGCAGCCAUGCCGCGUGAAUGAUGAAGGUCUUAGGACUGUAAAAUUCUUUUACCAGGGACGAUAAUGACGGUACCUGGAGAAAAAGCCCCGGCUAACUUCGUGCCAGCCGCCGCGGUAACAC
rnacentral:rRNA from 1 species